AGCUCGUGUCGUGAGAUGUUGGGUUAAGUCCCGCAACGAGCGCAACCCUACGUUUAGUUGCUAACGCGUGAAGGCGAGCACUCUAGACGAACUGCCGUUGACAAACGGAGGAAGGUGGGAUGACGUCAAAUCAUCAUGCCCCUUAUGUUCUGGGCUACACACGUGCUACAAUGGUUGGUACAACGAGUUGCGAGUCGGUGACGGCGAGCUAAUCUCUUAAAGCCAAUCUCAGUUCGGAUUGUAGGCUGCAACUCGCCUACAUGAAGUCGGAAUCGCUAGUAAUCGCGGAUCAGCACGCCGCGGUGAAUACGUUCCCGGGCCUU
rnacentral:rRNA from 1 species